rnacentral:misc_RNA from 1 species
UAUAUUAUAAAAUAUGGUUAAAUUGUCUUCCUUUUUAAGAUAAAGAUAAAUUAAGAUGAAUUUCAUUAAUUCUUUUCUGUAUUUUUAUUUUGAUGAAAUUUUUUUAAGUCAAAGUAAAUUUUUAGUUUAAACUUUAGAAAAAAUAGAUCUUUGGUAAGUAUUUAGUGUUAUAUAGUUUAGUAUUGAAUUAAGCGUUGUUAAUAGUAGAUCAUAAUUUUAAAUUUUGAAGUGAAGAGCUUUUAUAUUGCUAGAUGUGCAUUUUAAAUCUAAUAUAAUGGCAAUUGGUCAUUUUAAAAUUGAGAUUAUAUUCUAAAUAUUACUUAAUAUUUACCAAAUGUUUUAUUUUUUUGAUGAAUUCGCUUAAAGGAAUACCGAAGUGAUUAUAA